rfam:Thermoplasmatales archaeon DG-70 WOR1_52_54_774, whole genome shotgun sequence.
GGGCCUGUAGCUUAGAUUGGCAGAGCGCCUGGCUCAUAACCAGGCGGUCAGGGGUUCAAAUCCCCCCAGGCCCA